AGCUGUAGCUGUUACUGUCUAAAGGUUGGUAAUGUUGUAUUUAAAUAUAGAUGUUAAGGUGUUAGUUUAAGGAAGUAGAGUUGAGUUUCGUUUACCUCGGUUCUGUUUCCUCCGCGGCGGCUGCAGACUGAGUGUGUUGUAUAUGAGUGUGUGUGUGUGUGCGUGUUUCUGCCUCCUCUCAGCAGACGAGCCUUUUCCCAGAAGUCACGUGACUUUAAGGAAGUGAUAAAUGCAGAGUUAAAGUCACCAAGAGGAGGAUGAGGAUGAGGAAGUGGAAGAGGAAGAGGAGCAGCGAUGUCAUUCAGGUCAAGCAGAUAAAGACGGAAGACGCCGCCUCACAGCUGGUACCGUGAAAAGAGACAGAAGAGUAGGUGCAAAGAUCCUCGGCUGCAAUAAACCAGAUUAGUGGCUUGCUAAAGAGCAUCUUGCCAGUGUGGCGAGAGAGAGAGAGGCGGGGGGGGAAGGGGCCAGGAUCCCUGCAGCCCCCAGAGCCGCACAAUCAAAACCAAAUGUAUCUGACCUUGAGAAGUCGAGCGUGGUAAACGUUGUCGUCCUCGCUCUCUCCUCUCUGCGUGUCCACCUGGUACCUCUCAGAGGCCCGGGUCAGCUCGUUGGCCUCGUAGAGGGGAGAGGGGUCCAGAGAGUGGGCGUUUAUCAGACUCACCAGGUACUCCCUGUAGUGCUUCCUGCACAAACACAGACCCUUUGUUAAAGACUACACUUAGAAAUGUGUUAGGGUUAGCAGGCACACUGUCUCCUGACUUUUUUUCGACAUACAUACUAUAACUUCUUUUCCAUAAAAUAUUUCGACAUACGAUACUAUGACUUUUUUUCUUGAAAUUUUUUGACAAACUAUACUAUGACUUUUUUUCCAUAAAAAAUUUCGACAUAGUAUUCAUUGACUUUUUUUCAUAACAUUUUUCGACAUUCUAUACUAUGACUUUUUUUUACAUAAAAUGUUUCGACAUGACUUUUUUUGACAUACUAUAUACAUUUUUAUUUUUUUACCAUACUAUGAGAAUGAGAGAAUGAACUAUUAGAAUAUCUACAGCAGUCAGACACUCACUCGCAGAGUCCAGCUUGUCCCGGCUGUGUUUGGAGGCCACACGGUGAAUCAAUCUGCUGACCUGCUUCAUCUUUCUGCUCCAUCACACAACAAGCUUCUGUGUUACAGAGGAGAGAACAAAGUCAAAUGAUCGGCAAAAUCCACACUUUUAAAGAAAAAAAGAAAAUACAUACUCAUGGAUUUAGAGAUUAAAAUGUUUACUUUCAUGUUAAAUUGUUUUAGAAAAGUUUCUCAAAAACGUUGCCAUCAAAUCUAGAUUUCAACUUUAUGAAUUCAGUUAACUAAAUCUUAUUCAACUUUUCUCUGGAUUCCAGGUUUUUCCAGGAAUUCCAGGAUGUGUUUGAAGCCUGAGGCAAUAAAAGGAAGUA